CUCGGCGGGGAAGAAACUUUCUAAAAAUAGUAAAUAAAAGUACUUUUCUUUAUCUCAGUAUGUUAAGAUAUUUGCUCGACGCAAGAGCAGUUGAUGGUUACUAGUUGAUAGUUGCUGGAGAAAUCCAUCAACCGACAACCAAAAACCAACAACUAACAACCUUAAGGUGGUUAUUGCGGCGGGGCUCACCUCUUCCCAUCCCGAACAGAGUAGUUAAGCCCGCCUGCGCAGAUGGUACUGCAGUUAUGUGGGAGAGUAUGUCGUCGCCUUUC
rnacentral:rRNA from 1 species